UACGUAGGGGGCAAGCGUUGUCCGGAAUCAUUGGGCGUAAAGCGCGUGUAGGCGGUCCGGUAAGUCCGCUGUGAAAGUCGGGGGGUCAACCCUCGGAUGCCGGUGGAUACUGUCGGGCUUGAGUACGGAAGAGGCGAGUGGAAUUCCUGGUGUAGCGGUGAAAUGCGCAGAUAUCAGGAGGAACACCAAUUGCGAAGGCAGCUCGCUGGGACGUUACUGACGCUGAGACGCGAAAGCGUGGGGAGCAAACAGG
rnacentral:rRNA from 1 species